AUGGCGCAUAUCCACGUCGAGUCCAUGCAGACCGCCGUCCCGACGCGCGUGGCGCUGGAGCGCGGGCGGACGCUGCCCAUCGCCGUGACCGGGCCGCCGAUCGCGGCCGCGGAGCUACAGCACCGGUUCCGCGCGGUGCUCUACUACCGCGACCGGCUGGAGGGCGAGGCGAUGGCGCAGCUGGAGCAGGCCGCGUGGGUGCAGGAGUCGCUCAGCGAGGCGCUGGCCGACCACCCGAAGAUGGCAGGGCGGCUGUGGCGGCGGCACGCCGUCGGCGGCCAAGGGCCGUGGGACUGGGACGUGAAGCUCUGCGACGCCGGCGUGCGGCUGCUCAUGGCGUCGGUGGACACGACCUUGACCGCGUUCCUGGAGGCGGAGGACCGCGAGAGCAAGGAGCCCGCGCUGGCGCUCUGGACGGACGUGGAGGCCAAGGACCCAGAGAAGUGCUCCCCUUUCGUCAUGCAGUUGACGCGGUUCCAGGGCGGCGGCUACGCCAUCGGCGCGUGCUGCAGCCUGCUCCACACCGACCCGCUGUCUUUCAUCAACUUCCUCAAGUCGUGGGCGCGCACGCAUGCGCAGGUGCAGGCGCAGAACAAGCUCGUCCCCAACCAGAUGAUACGGUACACCCGCUACUUCCGAAACCCAGGCGCCGCCACGAGGCGUCUCAGGUCCACCCCCCUCGUCUCCGUGGCCGGCGACGCCGCGACCACCGAGCUCUUCAGGGUCGUCGGCGACGCGCCAGGCCGCCGCGCGCUGGCCGAGGCGUGCGUCGCGCAGGCCAGCGAGAAGCUGGGGGUCGAGAAGCCGACGCGGUUCACGGUUCUCGCCGGGGACGGCCUGGGAGGGCUGAACGUCCUGCGCUCCUGCGCGAAAGGUGACGGGGAGACGACGACGACGACAACGCCUCCGGGGCACCUACUUCGGGAGGCGUGCUGGCAAGAGGCCGGUCUCGAGGAGGCCGUGCUGGAUGGGUGCAAGCCCGUGCACGUCUCGUGCAGCAUCGUCUCGCCGGGUGCCCAGGAGGGCAUUGUCGUCGUGAUGCAGGCAGGGGCCAGCGCCGAGCUCUUGAUCAGUGCGACUGUUCCGAGCAGGAAGUGA
rnacentral:rRNA from 1 species